rnacentral:rRNA from 1 species
CCUACGGGAGGCAGCAGUGGGGGAUAUUGCACAAUGGGGGAAACCCUGAUGCAGCGACGCCGCGUGAGUGAAGAAGUAUUUCGGUAUGUAAAGCUCUAUCAGCAGGGAAGAAAAUGACAGUACCUGACCAAGAAGCCCCGGCUAACUACGUGCCAGCAGCCGCGGUAAUACGUAGGGGGCAAGCGUUAUCCGGAUUUACUGGGUGUAAAGGGAGCGUAGACGGUGAUGUAAGUCUGGUGUGAAAGCCCGGGGCCCAACCCCGGGACUGCUUUGGAAACUGUGUAGCUGGAGUGCAGGAGGGGCAGGCGGAAUUCCUAGUGUAGCGGUGAAAUGCGUAGAUAUCAGGAGGAACACCGGCGGCGAAGGCGGCCUGCUGGACUGAAACUGACGUUGAGGCUCGAAAGCGUGGGGAGCAAACAGGAUUAGAUACCCCAGUAGUC